CACGUAGGGUGCGAGCGUUGUCCGGAAUUAUUGGGCGUAAAGAGCUCGUAGGCGGUCUGUCACGUCGGCUGUGAAAUCCCGAGGCUCAACCUCGGGUCUGCAGUCGAUACGGGCAAACUAGAGUACUGCAGGGAGACUGGAAUUCCUGGUGUAGCGGUGAAAUGCGCAGAUAUCAGGAGGAACACCGGUGGCGAAGGCGGGUCUCUGGGCAGUAACUGACGCUGAGGAGCGAAAGCAUGGGAGCGAACAGG
rnacentral:rRNA from 1 species